UACGUAGGGUGCAAGCGUUGUCCGGAAUUAUUGGGCGUAAAGGGCUCGUAGGCGGUCCGUCACGUCGGGAGUGAAAUCCUGGGGCUUAACCCCAGAACUGCUUCCGAUACGGGCAGGCUAGAGUGUGGUAGGGGAGAUCGGAAUUCCUGGUGUAGCGGUGAAAUGCGCAGAUAUCAGGAGGAACACCGGUGGCGAAGGCGGAUCUCUGGGCCAUUACUGACGCUGAGGAGCGAAAGCGUGGGGAGCGAACAGG
rnacentral:rRNA from 1 species